GAUCCUGGCUCAGAUUGAACGCUGGCGUCAGGCCUAACACAUGCAAGUCGAACGGUAACAGGAAGCAGCUUGCUGCUUUGCUGACGAGUGGCGGACGGGUGAGUAAUGUCUGGGAAACUGCCCGAUGGAGGGGGAUAACUACUGGAAACGGUAGCUAAUACCGCAUAACGUCGCAAGACCAAAGAGGGGGACCUUCGGGCCUCUUGCCAUCGGAUGUGCCCAGAUGGGAUUAGCUAGUAGGG
rnacentral:rRNA from 1 species